ACCCUUAACUCCGUAGAAACCAAGUCCUCUGUUGCCCUGAAAAGAUAAAUAAUUUCUGUAAGUUUUAAAAAGCCAAUAAUCAGAGAGAAAUAAAAUUAUUUUUCUUAGAAAAAGAAACCCAAGGCCUAUUUAUCGGCAACUUUACUGAGCAACUAUAUUUGCAUAAUAUUCUUGCUUUGCAUUGUAGAAACUAAUUGACAGUUUGUCAUGUCAGUUGACCAAGGCCUCAGAGUGAAUGAGUGGGAGCUGAGAUUGGACCCCAGGUGGUGCUGGCCCUCGAUCGUCCCAGGCCCUGUGACUGCAGCGACAGCUUCCCUGACUUCCUCUGGGAGUCCCCACGAGACUCCAUGCAGGACUUCUUCCUGGUAGCUUGGCCAACUUUCAUGGACAGAAUGAAUCUACAAGCUGGCACUGCAGAGCGGAAAGUCCAUCUGCAGUAUCAUGGUGUGUCUUUCUGCAGAGCAUUCAGUGUCAACACUGUGCUUAGGAUUAAAGCAUUUCAGAUGCAGGGGAAGAGUGUUUAAGUACAAAUAAGUGGAUACAAAGGAGUGGAUAGGGAGGGGGUUGUGGAUGAUUGCAUGGCUCAUGUGAAGAACCAAAAGCUGUCAGAGCAGCUGAGGACCUAGCAAGUACAAUCUGUUGUGCCGGACUUCUCCGAGUGGUGCAUUUAAAGUAUGAAAUCCAACCAUGUGGCAUGUGUGCCGUGACUAAGCCAAUAACCCUAUGGAGUGAAACAGCAACAGCGCCUCGUAUGACCCUGAUUUCAGCCACCUUGACCAGGUCUUUCACAGACGGGGCUACUUGCAAGAAUGACUUUCACAGCACCGGGGAAAUUUGCUUUGUAGAAACAAAAUCUAUUAUUAUUAUUGUCAUUUAUUAUAAUCUGAAGAGAAUUAUGAGUACCCCCCAACUGUUAGUUUGACUGAGUCUCCCCAGACAUAUAUGACUUCAUUUUUUUCUCAGUAUCUGUCAAGGAACUGGUGUUAGUGUCCCUUGAUAGCUUGUCUCAGUCUUGAGCAAUGGCUUCCUGUGAGAAGAUCUCUCUCACCUGCAGCCCAAAUCGCUCCUUGUGUAAGUUAAGGCCUAUUUAUCUGAUUACUAACAUAUGUGGGGAAUGAGCGAGUCAGGAGCUCUCGCAGUGGCCAAUCCACCUUCCAGCUCAUUGUGCAGUGGUGGGAGUGGCCAGAGAGCUACACAAGCCUCAGCAAGUGCCUUUUUCUGCUCUUCCCUACUUGCAAUGAGCCCUCUAGGGCCAUUGUGUUAAACAGUGGCCAGUAUCUCACCUGCUGUAAUGAGCCCAGGUGUGAUAUGCCUGCUAGCAUGGGUGUGGCACAGGCAGACCUCCAUUUCCUCCUUAUGAACCUGUGGGACUUUGGUUUGCCUUGCCCAGGGAUGAUGGGCUGUCUGUCACUGGGUAGGUAUGGGGUGGGGAUGGAAGGGCACCCUGCCGGAACCAAGUCAAAAUUUGACAUAACUGGCAGAGAGCUGGUGACCAUAAUUUUAAGCC
rnacentral:lncRNA from 10 species